AUAGUAAUGCAUGACAUGGUAAAAAAUAGCAGCAGUAAUAUGAUGAGCAAUACCAAACAACAUGGUAAAUAGGUUCAGCAAAUACACUUGGCGGAACAUGGAUGCUAACUAAUAAUCCCCUCAACGCACAAUCACACGCUAGCACGCACACACACUUCAUGAAAAGCACAGUGCACACUAAGAUGAAUGCAAGGAACCCUAAACAGAGAGGCACGCACUGGAAUCCCUCCCUCGCCGCCUCCUCCCCUCCUGCGCUGCACCUCGCCUCCCUCCUCCCCUCCCACGAUGCACCUCGCCUCCCUCCUCUCCUCCAGGUGCUGCUCCUCGCCGCCACCGCACAGAGACGCCCGCCAGCGCCGCCGUGGUGCCCAUCGUCGAGGAAGAACAGAGGACGUCGCGGCGAGGAAGUGGUUCGCAUGGGCGCCGCCAGGGAGCCGGAAGCUGAAGCCGCUCAGCCUCACUGAGCACCACCAUGGACCACUGGAACCAGAUCCGCCGCCACCACCCGCCAACAGGAAGCCUAGCCGCUCCUCUCCAUGCGCAACGACCGCUGCGCGGGGGGUGGGGAGGGGCAGGGGGUGAGGGGCGUCCGCCGCCACCGCGGCCGCCCGCUGCUCCGCCGCCGUGGCCGCCUGUCGCUCCGCCGCCGCGCCCUGCUGCAAUCAGGAGAAGUGGAGACGGCGAAGAGAAGUGGCGGGCGAACAGGAAGAGUCGGGAGGAGGAAAAGAACAAGAGAGAGAGGGGGAGGGGGUUUCCCGAGUGAGUUGAUCCGACCGAGCGCGCCGAUAAGACCAAGUGGGGCACGUGCAACACUUGGAAUCUCCGAACAUAAUAUGCACUAAUGUCCGGUCUCCAGAACUCAAGAGCCAAGUUACCUUUUCUUCAGCUAGGGACCAGC
rnacentral:lncRNA from 1 species